CAUCCCAACUUUGAUAAAAGGGAAAAUUAUUAGUUAGAGCUAUAGACUUAUGUUUAUUAAAGUGCUUCAUAUAUGGAGGUGAUUUAUGUUAAAUGGUAAUUGAAGGACAAGUUGGUAAUUUGAGCAUGAAGAGUAUUUAAUUGCCUAACCACUCCAAGAUCACUCAUUUUCUAUCCAAUUCAUUUCUCAGUAACCAUUCCAAUACUCCCUCUUCUCUCUCACGCCUUCUCACUCACACUCUAACCAUUCUCUUCAAUUCAAGCUUUGAACCAAGGAAAGGAAGCAUGGAUUCUUACAUGCAAUCAUGGUAGCAACUUCUCUAGUCAUAAGUAAACAAGAGCUUGUAUGUGAGUUAUAGUAGCCAAGGAGUCAUGGGUUCAUGUUUGAAGCUUGAAGUCUUGAUUGGUGACUUUUGAAAGAGAUUGUGUUGAAUUUCGUUUUUGGAUAUUCUUUCAGAAAAACAGUAAGUACUCCUUCCCUGCAACUCCAACCGAGUUAAUUCUUUAAGUUCUGUAAAGCUAACGAAUUUACCCUCGUUGGCAUAUCAAAUUUUAUCGGAUUCGGAGUUACAAUGCAUUAUGUAGGUGAUGUUUAAGUUGAAGAUACGAAACAGGAUUUCUGCAGAAAAUGUGUUUGGACAGUGCUGCACUUAAAGGUUAACUGCGCCCUCUCUAUAACUCGGUUUGAUAUUCCGUUUGCUUCUAUGGAUAGCUAACUCGAUUACGGUCGCUAUGGUUCCGGUUUUGUGAAUUUUCAAUAAGGGAUGAGGUCUGUAUGAAUUUUUGAAGUUGAUGCUCCAAUGCAGUAUUCUGCAGAAAGUUAUGGGUACGGGUUUGAAGCAUUUCGAUUGCAAUUAUGCAUAUCGGCGAGCUCUGGAAAUGACAAUGGUUUUGUUCAAGCGUAGUUGCAGAUAAGCAGGUUGUUCGAGGAUCGAGGCCUUGAGGCAUGAAGAUUCGGAUACGUGGAUUAUGUUAUGAAGCUGACGUUAUGUUAACCUUAUAUUUGUAUAAGAUUCGGUUCAUUUAUGUUCAGUUGUUAGCUCGAUCAUGUAUUCAUUUGUUGGAUUUUGUAAUCCUAUUCACGUAUUUGGUCUUUGUGUAAAUGAAAUUAAUGUUUCUCGAUUCAGUUAUGUUCACUCUUGUCGCUAUUCUAGAUAAAUCGACAAGGGGUGUUAUAAUUGGUAUCAGAGCAGGUCGAUUCAGUAUCGGACCUUGCCGCGGAUCAUUAAAAUUCAAUCUGAAGUAGUACGGACCCUUUGGAGUCUGGACUGUUUACGCUGAAAUCAUCGCGUGCUGAGCCCGAUCAACUCAGUAUCGUGUAUGGUAGGCAGGGUAUUACGGUCGAGAACCGAAGUGGACCAAGGAGGUCGAGUAGUAAGAACGAAGUAGAAGCGCGAACUCCGAUGGAAGUAUGAAUGGAGACCGUUAGAAGCGGAUAUUGUAAACAGCGGCGGUCGACGGCACAAAAGUAAGUUGAGUAACGCCAACAAGUGGCACGCAUAAUUGGGAAUAGUAUUUGGCGUAAUACCAGUAGUAAGAGGCAUGUCCAGAAAUGCACGAAUCGGACGCGCUUAACUGACAGUAGCAAGUUUAAGGAUACUGAGAAUUAUAGGAAUGGAAACACGGUAUAUAAGUAAGCUUUGACCGGAGUGGAACCGAGAUUGAGUAUUGAAGUAUGAAAACUGGAAAAUUGUAGUAAGUCUGACGGGUACAUUAGUACAGAUGAUAGGGUCAUGAGAAUGGCGCAUAGUAUAAAUUGGAGUGUGGUAUAACAGUAAUAUCCAACCGACACGUGUGUAUUGUGUGGACCUAAUUACAAGGGGCACCUUAAUUCAAAUAAGACUUAUCAGAAGUCGGUGAACCAAACUCUUUCAAAUCCGUCUAACCUUCAUUUCAGCUUAGUAGUUUUCCCCUAGUGACAUAGGUCAACUAAUUACACUAUCGGAGAAAGAUAAACUAGACUUCAUGCAAUCCCUUAGUUCCUAAUAUCAGCCUGUUGUACCAUUUUCGUAGAAUAAGAACACUAAUUGUUCCCAGCAAGAUAAGUUCAGCCUCUCAGUUCAUAACUAGUAUCCUAGUCAGACCCAUAACAAGCAAGUUUUGUUUGAGUAAUGACUAGAAUUAAUACUAAUACUAUCAGUUACCUAAGCCGGCAUAUUAAGUGUCAUUAUCAAUGAUUUAAGAACAAGUAAUGCAGUUUUGUAUUAGCAUCAAGAAGUCACUGAAAAAUUUUCUGUAUUCAAACCUCUCAACUAAUAACUCAACAUACUCGAUUAAACCUUUUGUAAGAGUUUAUCAACUAAGUUCUAAUGAGAAUCAGGUUUGUCCCAAUUCCAGAGAUUAGUCGGUUAAGAGAAAUCAUAAUGUAUGAACAUAAUGCAAUAGAAUUAUGAUCUUCAGUUACCUACCCUUUCACUUGAACUCUAAUUCUGCUAAAUUUAUCAAAUUGAUGCGAUGCAUGAUCCAUAAUCAGCAAACCUUAUUAAGUUAUGAACAUUACGUUCCCCAUGCCUAUUUAAUCAUGAUAAGAGGGAGAUAAAUUCUUCCGGUACAUUGAGACCUAUCACUUACAUUUAAUGCAAGAAUUCAAUUAAGUUAUGUACCAUUGUACCUUCUAAUUCCUCAGUAUCAGCGAAUUGGAUUCAUGUUUAGAGUGUUAUCCUUAUGCAACUUUGACGAAGUGUCUUCAGCUUUCCAACUUUGUUAUUAUAACUUAGUUCGGGCCUAUGUAAGUUUGAGUUGCUUGUUAAGAGUAAUGAGUCGUGUUUCGUUAAGGACUAUCAGUUAUACAUGUCGACCUUAAGAGCAGUAACAUUAUGUUUAUCACCAAGAAAUUCUCCAAUCUUUUAGCAUCAUUACCGAGGACCGGUUCAUAAUCACAGAAGUCAAAUUAGCAAUUAAGUUCAAACUCUCGCUCGUCUUGUUAACCUGUCAAGCAGCAUGGUUAAGGUACCACGAACGUUGGAAACGUUAUUGCAAUCAAUUAAGUUCAUCUUUCUUUAUAAGGUCUUACCAUCUCAAUUUGGAUAAAAAUCCAAAACCAUCCAGAGAUGUAAGAAGUAACCUCGAUGAACAUCGAUGGAAUGAGAAAAUCGUAAGCGCUAUGCGACAAGGAGAUUUUUGGAUUAAUCGGCGAUGAUAUUCAAGCUUAUACCCUUAAGAUAACCUAAUGAAGUUUGUGGAGUAAUAAAGUAACGGCCGAGAACAAUAGAUGUAGUAAUACUAAAAGGAUAUUAAUUGUGGCUGAGGUUGGUGAAGUGAUAAGUUAAAUAGAAAUCAAUUCGCUAAGAAUAUCACUGAUCAAGUAAAGGUCGCUGUUGGAACAACUCAGUUAUUACUAUCAAAUGUAAUGGUAAGAGGAGACAUAUGCCACACGAUGAGAAGACUAUGAGUAGGAGAUAAUAGUAAGUGAUAAAAAGUAAAGUGUUGCAGACAUGUUAGAUGGUUGUAAAGUAUUAUGUAUACAGUGGUGCGCCUGUCGUCACGAAACGAUGCAAGUGUUGUUUUGUGAUAUCUUUGGUACGAGAAGUAAUAAUAAAAGCAAUAACACCGGAUAAGAUGAGACGAUGUGUGACAAUGUCAGGGAAUUUGUAGACCAAGACUGUAAUGACGCGUAGAGAGAAUGCCAGUAAGUAGUCGAAUCAGAGUGCGCAGCUGGGAAGUGGUUGAGAAUGUAGUUAGUAGAUUCACUUGUAGGUCAACAACUCUUUGAGAGAGGAAAGUUUUAUUCCAAAGAAUUGAAAGUGGGGAACCAUAAAAUGAUUAAAGAUCGUAUGACGAGUAAGUUACACAAAUGUUCAUGUUUGGACCUGAGAUUGUUAGUAUAGAAUACCCUUGAGAAUCAAGUUUGUGAUGGUAAAACGGUUCACUUGAGAAGUUUGACGCGGUGAACUAGUAAGAUUAAGUAUGCUUCGGCGUUGUAUUGAAAAGUGAAAAAGAAGAAAAGUUGCUCCGUGAGCGUUUAAGCUGAGGAAAAGUAACAGAGGGAGCUAAUAUAAGAUGAGUGUGUAUCUAAAAGUUGUAUUAUGGGCUGAGAUUAUGAGUUCAACUUCAUGGAAUAAACGAGUAGGAUUUCCAAAAGUAUCAUAAGUGAACGCCAACGCAGUGAAGAAUGACGAUUACUAACCUUGAAUGAUAAAUCAUGAUCAAUUAAGAAACGAAAUCCAAAAUCUGGAAAUGGAUUAUAGGAAAUGUACUAUGUGAUGAAUGAAGAAGUUCUUGAAUUUCGCGGACGAAAUUCUUUUAAGGGGGAUAGAUUGUAACAUCCCAACUUUGAUAAAAGGGAAAAUUAUUAGUUAGAGCUAUAGACUUAUGUUUAUUAAAGUGCUUCAUAUAUGGAGGUGAUUUAUGUUAAAUGGUAAUUGAAGGACAAGUUGGUAAUUUGAGCAUGAAGAGUAUUUAAUUGCCUAACCACUCCAAGAUCACUCAUUUUCUAUCCAAUUCAUUUCUCAGUAACCAUUCCAAUACUCCCUCUUCUCUCUCACGCCUUCUCACUCACACUCUAACCAUUCUCUUCAAUUCAAGCUUUGAACCAAGGAAAGGAAGCAUGGAUUCUUACAUGCAAUCAUGGUAGCAACUUCUCUAGUCAUAAGUAAACAAGAGCUUGUAUGUGAGUUAUAGUAGCCAAGGAGUCAUGGGUUCAUGUUUGAAGCUUGAAGUCUUGAUUGGUGACUUUUGAAAGAGAUUGUGUUGAAUUUCGUUUUUGGAUAUUCUUUCAGAAAAACAGUAAGUACUCCUUCCCUGCAACUCCAACCGAGUUAAUUCUUUAAGUUCUGUAAAGCUAACGAAUUUACCCUCGUUGGCAUAUCAAAUUUUAUCGGAUUCGGAGUUACAAUGCAUUAUGUAGGUGAUGUUUAAGUUGAAGAUACGAAACAGGAUUUCUGCAGAAAAUGUGUUUGGACAGUGCUGCACUUAAAGAAAGUUAUGGGUACGGGUUUGAAGCAUUUCGAUUGCAAUUAUGCAUAUCGGCGAGCUAUGGAAAUGACAAUGGUUUUGUUCAAGCGUAGUUGCAGAUAAGCAGGUUGUUCGAGGAUCGAGGCCUUGAGGCAUGAAGAUUCGGAUACGUGGAUUAUGUUAUGAAGCUGACGUUAUGUUAACCUUAUAUUUGUAUAAGAUUCGGUUCAUUUAUGUUCAGUUGUUAGCUCGAUCAUGUAUUCAUUUGUUGGAUUUUGUAAUCCUAUUCACGUAUUUGGUCUUUGUGUAAAUGAAAUUAAUGUUUCUCGAUUCA